UAUUCUCUUUUGAAAAAAUUG
rnacentral:piRNA from 1 species